rnacentral:rRNA from 1 species
GAUGAACGCUGGCGGCGUGCCUAAUACAUGCAAGUCGAGCGAACAGACGAGGAGCUUGCUCCUUUGACGUUAGCGGCGGACGGGUGAGUAACACGUAGGUAACCUACCUAUAAGACUGGGAUAACUUCGGGAAACCGGAGCUAAUACCGGAUAAUAUUUCGAACCGCAUGGUUCGAUAGUGAAAGAUGGCUUUGCUAUCACUUAUAGAUGGACCUGCGCCGUAUUAGCUAGUUGGUAAGGUAACGGCUUACCAAGGCAACGAUACGUAGCCGACCUGAGAGGGUGAUCGGCCACACUGGAACUGAGACACGGUCCAGACUCCUACGGGAGGCAGCAGUAGGGAAUCUUCCGCAAUGGGCGAAAGCCUGAAGGAGCAACGCCGCGUGAGUGAUGAAGGUCUUCGGAUCGUAAAACUCUGUUAUUAGGGAAGAACAAACGUGUAAGUAACUGUGCACGUCUUGACGGUACCUAAUCAGAAAGCCACGGCUAACUACGUG